rnacentral:rRNA from 1 species
GACGAACGCUGGCGGCGUGGUUAACACAUGCAAGUCGAACGGAAAGGCCCUGCUUAAGAGGGGUGGUGGAGGGGCGAACGGGAACGCGUCACGUGAGUCACCUGCGACGGACACAGCGACAACAUCAGGAAACUGAGAUCAGUACGUGACAGGACUUGCAGCUGCGUGGGGGGGAAUGGAGCGUUAGGGCGGGUGGGGAUCGGCUCGCGGCUUAGCAGCUUGUUGGGGGGGUAGCGGCUUACCAAGGCUUUGACGGGUAGCCGGCCUGGGAGGGUGACCGGCCACAAUGGGACUUGGGUACGGCCCCGUCUCCUACGGGGGGCAGCAGUUGGGAAUAUUGCACAGUGGGCGGAAGCCUGAUGCGGCCACGCCGCGGGCCGGAUAGCGGCUUUCGGGUUCUUAACCGCUUUCGCCUGUGGCGAAGCGCGAGUGACGGUACUCUAUAAAGAAGCCCCGGCUAACUACGUG